rnacentral:tRNA from 1 species
UGUAAGGUGGCAGACAAAUGCCCUGGAAUUAAGCCCCAGUUAUGAGAACUAUUUCUCCCUUAUAU